rnacentral:rRNA from 1 species
UGAGGAAUAUUGGUCAAUGGACGAGAGUCUGAACCAGCCAAGUAGCGUGAAGGAUGACUGCCCUAUGGGUUGUAAACUUCUUUUAUACGGGAAUAAAGUGAGGCACGUGUGCCUUUUGUAUGUACCGUAUGAAUAAGGAUCGGCUAACUCCGUGCCAGCAGCCGCGGUAAUACGGAGGAUCCGAGCGUUAUCCGGAUUUAUUGGGUUUAAAGGGAGCGUAGGCGGACGCUUAAGUCAGUUGUGAAAGUUUGCGGCUCAACCGUAAAAUUGCAGUUGAUACUGGGUGUCUUGAGUACAGUAGAGGCAGGCGGAAUUCGUGGUGUAGCGGUGAAAUGCUUAGAUAUCACGAAGAACUCCGAUUGCGAAGGCAGCCUGCUGGACUGUAACUGACGCUGAUGCUCGAAAGUGUGGGGUAUCAAACAGGAUUAGAUACC